rnacentral:lncRNA from 1 species
GGUUGUUGUAAGGAUAAAAUGAGAUGAUAUUUAUGAAGUGUUUAGCGUAGUGCCUGACACACAUAUGGGUGUGAUAUAAAUGCUAGCUGCUAUUAUUAUCGUUACUAUUAUACCAAUAAACAGUCACUUUUCAUUUGAAUAGCUUCUCUUUGUAGAAAUUCAACAGUCUUGGAUGACAACUUGUGUUACUGGUAAACUGGCUAAAUUCUAUGAACUCUCAUGAUCUUUCCUUGUUAUGGCAUUAUUUCAUUUGCUAUGAUAUAAUACAAUAAAUGUUUAUUAAGCACCUACUGUGUGCCAGGCACUGUGCUAAGUGCCAGGAAUACAAAUAAGAAAAAGAAAGCCAAUCCAUGCCCUCAAGGAGUUUAUAAUCUAAUGGGGGAAAUCAAUACACAAAAUGGAGGGGAGAGAGAGUAUUGGAGGGUACCCAAGGAGAGGUAUGAUAAAGACGGUGGCAAAUGACGAGAUGGCUUGGGAUCAAUUAGCAGUGGUAUGAUCGAUUAAUAAGUACAUAUUCACUACUCCUCUGUGUCAUUUGCUUUGGAGCAUAGGAAAGAAGCCCGAGACGUGAUUUCUACCAUUAAGGAAGAUAAAUUGUGCAGAUGAUAUGCAUUAUCAGAAUACCACACAUGAUGUAUGCAUAUUAUAAUUGUGAAUGAGAGCUAUCAGUGGGGGUGAGAGUAGUAAGGGAGAGCUUUCUUGAACAGGUGGUGCUUUGAACAGUGGAUUUGGUAAGGGAAGCAUAAAUUCUUUAUUUCAGUGGUGGUGAUUGUAUAAAAUCUUGCCUAGGCAGAUCACACAAGGGCCUAUGAAAAUGAAUGUGCUUUUUCCUAUUUCCUCACUGGUUUAUUUUCCCUCUUCUCAGGACUGGCAUCUAUUUAUUCCCCCCCUUUCUCCAGGCUCCAUGAACCUGGAACCCCCAAGGAUUCUGCAUUUGUUUGGCACCCAGAAUGACUGCAGAAUUCUGCAGAGAGCAACUGUUUGCUAUAAAUCAAAGGAACUGGGAUCGACAGCCUGAAAAGAGAAGAUUUAGAGGCACAUGAGAGUUGUCU